UACGAAGGGGGCUAGCGUUGUUCGGAAUCACUGGGCGUAAAGCGCACGCAGGCGGAUUGAUAAGUCAGGGGUGAAAUCCCGGAGCUCAACUUCGGAAUUGCCUUUGAUACUGUCUAUCUUCGAGUUCGGGAGAGGUUGGCGGAAUUCCUAGUGUAGAGGUGAAAUUCGUAGAUAUUAGGAAGAACACCAGUGGCGAAGGCGGCCAACUGGCCCGGUACUGACGCUGAGGUGCGAAAGCGUGGGAGC
rnacentral:rRNA from 1 species